AACGUAGGUGGCGAGCGUUAUCCGGAUUUACUGGGCGUAAAGCGUGUGCAGGCGGCUUAUCAAGUGGUGUAUGAAAUAUCCAGGCUCAACCUGGAGGGGUUAUGCCAGACUGGUAGGCUAGAGUGCGAGAGAGGGGCGUGGAAUUCCGGGUGUAGCGGUGGAAUGCGUAGAGAUCCGGAAGAACACCGGAGGCGAAGGCGGCUUGCUGGGCUCGGUCUGACGCUGAGGCGCGAAAGCGUGGGGAGCGAACAGG
rnacentral:rRNA from 1 species